UUUUGGUUACUGUAGCUCUGUAGUAUAAUUUGAAGUCAGGUCGUGUUAUUCCUUCAGUUUUGUUCUUUUUGCCCAUGAUAGCUUUGACUAUUCUGUCACUUUUGUAGUUCUAUAUAAAUUUUAGGAUUUUUUUUUUCUAUUUCUGUGAAGAAUGUUAUUGGGAUUUGGAAUCUAUAGAUUCAGUGCAAUCCCUAUUAUUACACUGAUUCUGCUUUAGGUAGGAUGGACAUUUUUACAAUAUUGAUUGUUCCAAUCCGUGGACAUGGAAUGUCUUUUUCUUGGUGCAGGGGGUAUUCUUUUCAAUGUCUUGCAUCAGUGUUUUAUAGUUUUCAUUGUAGAUAUAUUUCACUUAUUUGGUUAAUUCCUAGGUAUUUAAUUUUAUCUGUAGUUAUUAUAAAUGGCGUUACUUCCUUGAUUUCUUUUUCGGAUUACUUGCUGUUGGUAUAUAGAAAUGCUAGUGACUUUUGUGUGUUGAUUUUACUGAAUUUGCUUAUCAGUUCUAAUAGGUUUUUGGUGGCGUCUUUAGGUUUUUCCAAAUAUAAGGUCAUAUCAUCUACAAACAAGGAUAAUGUGACUUCUUCCUUUCCAGUUUGAGUGCCCUUAUAUCUUUCUCUUGACUCAUUGCUCUAGCUAGGACUUCCAGUACUAUAUUGGAUCAUAGUGGUGAAAGUGGGCAUUGUUGUCAUGUUCUAAAUCUUAGAGGAAAGGCUUUCAGUUUUUCCCCAUUCAGUAUGAUACUGGCUGUGGGUUGUUGUAUAUGUUUUAUUAUGCUGAGGUAUGUUUCUUCUAUACUCAGUUAUUUUUAGGGUUUUUAUCAUGAAGUGAUGUUGAAUUUUAUCAAAUGCUUUUUCAGCAUCAGUUGAAAUGAUCAUAUGGUUCUUGUCCUUCACUCUGAUGAUAGGCUGUAUCACAUUGAUUGAUUGGUGUAUGUUGAUCCAUCCUUAUAUCCUUGGGAUACAUCUCACUUGAUCAUGAUGAAUGAUCUUUUUAAUGUGUUGUUGAAUUUGAUUUGUUAGUAUUUGUUGAGGAUUUUUACAUAAAUGUUCAUCAGAGCCUGUAGUUUUCUUUUUUUGGUGUGUCUUUUUCUGAUUUUGGUAUCAGGGUAAUACUGGUCUCAUAGAAUGAGUUUGGAAGUAUUCCUUCCACCUCCAUUUUUUGGAAUUGUUUGAGUAAGAUUGGUGUUAGUUCUUCUUUAAAUGUUUGGUAAAAUUCAGCAGUGAAGCCAUUGGGUCCCAAGCUUUUCUUUGCUGGGAUACUUCUUUGUUUUUUGAGAUGGACUUUCACUCUUGUUGCCCAGGCUGGAGUGCAAUGACGUGAUCUUGGCUCACCGCAACCUCUGCCUCCGGGGUUCAAGUAAUUCCCCUGCUUCAGCCUCCCAAGUAGCUGCGAUUAUAGGCAUCCGCCACCACACCCGGUUAAUUUUGUAUUUUUAGUAGAGACUGGUUUCUCCAUGUUGGUCAGGCUGGUCUCGAACUCCCAACCUCAGGUGAUCUGCCCGCCUUGGCCUCCGAAAGUGCUGGGAUUACAGGCAUAAGCCACCAUGCCUGGCCGACUGAGAGAUUUUUAACUUUGACUUUGAUCUUGCUACUUGUUAUUGAUCUGUUUAGGUUUUAGGUUUCUUCAUGAUUCAAUUUUGGGAGGUUGUAUGUGUCAAGAAAUUUAUCCAUUUCUUCUAGGUUUUCCAAUUUAUUGGCAUAUAAUUGCUCAUAGUAGCCUCAAAUGGUCCUUUGAGUUUCUACAGUAUCAGCUGUAAUGUCUUCUUUUUCAUCUCUGAUUUUAUUUUGGUCUUCUCAUGUUUUUUCUUAGUCUGGCUAAAGGUUUGUCAAUUUCAUUUAUCUUUUCAAAGAAACAAUUUUUUAUUUUGUUGAUAUUUUGUAUUGUUUUCUUCAUUUCAACUUCAUUUAUUUCUCCUCUGAUCUUUAUUUAUUUUCUACUAACUUUGGGUUUGGUUGGGUCUUGCUUUUCUACUUAUUUAAGAUGCAUUGUUAGGCUAUUUAUUUGAUGCGUUUCUACUUUUUUGAUAUAGGAACUUAUAGCUAUAAACUUCCCUCUUUGGCUGGGUGUGGUGGCUCACACCUGUAAUCAUAGCACUUUGGGAGGCUGAGGCGGGUGAAUUGCCUGAGCUCAGGAGUUCCAGACCAGCCUAGGCAACAUGGUGAAACCCUGUCUCUACUAAAAAUACAAAAAAUUAGUCGGGCAUUGGUGGUGCAUGCCUGUAAUCCCAGCUACUCAGGAGGCUGAGGCGCAAGACUCACUUGAACCUGGGAGCUGGAGGUUGCAUUGAGCUGACACAAGACUGUCUCAAAAAAUAAAAAAUAAAAUAAAAAUAAAUAAAUAAACAAACAAACUUCCCUCUUAGUACUGCUUUAGCUGUAUCCCAUAGGUUUGGGUAUGUUAUGUUUCCAUUAUCAUUUGUUUCAAGAAAUUCCUUCAUGUUUGUACCAUUUCCAAAAUUCUUGUUAUUGAUUUCUAGUUUUAUUCCAUUGUGGUCAGAAAAUGCUUGAUAUUACUUCAGUUUUUUGAGUGUUUUAAGACUUGUCUUGUGACCUAACAUAUAAUCUGUCCUUGAGAAUGAUCCAUGUACUGAGGAGAAGAAUGUGUAUUUUGCAGCCAUUGGAUGAAAUGUUCUGUAAAUAUCUAUUAGGUCCAUUUGGUUUGUAGUGCAGAUUAAGUCCAGUGUUUCUUUGUUGAUUUUCUGUCUGGAUGAUCUGUCCGAUGCUGAAAAUGGGAUGUUGAAGUCUCUAGCUAGCUAUUGUUUUGGAGUCUUAUCUAUUUAGCUCUAAUAAUACUUCCUUUAUAUAUCUGGGUGCUCCAGUGUUGGGUACAUAUAUAUUUAAAAUGGCUACAUCUUCUUGCUGAAUUAACCCCUUUAUCAUUAUAUAAUGACCUUUUUCUGUCUCUUUUUGUAGUUUUUGUCUUGAAAUCUAUUUUGUCUGAUACAAAUACAGUUAGUCUUGCUCUUUUUUGGUUUCCAUUGAUAUGGAAUAUUUUUUUUCAUCCUUUCAUUUUCACUCUAUAUGUUUCUUUAAAGGUGAAGUGUGUUUCUUGUAGGCAACAGAUCAUUGAAUCUUGCUUUUUUAUCCAUUCAGCCACUCUAUGUCUUUUGAUUGGGGAGUUUAGUCCAUUUACAUUCAAUGUUAUUAUUAAUAAGUAGGGACUUACUCCUGCCAUUUUAUUUGUUUUCUGGUUUUUUUUUUGGUCUUCUCUUUCUUCUUUUCUUCCUUCCUAUUUUCCUUUUAGUGGAUGUGAUUUUCUCUGGUGGUAUGUUUUAAUUUCUCCCUUUUUAUUUUUUGCAUAUCCACUAUAUGUUUUUAGAUUUGUGGUUACCAUGAAGUUUGCAAAUAAUAUCUUAUAACCCAUUAUUUUAAACUGAUGACAACACCGAUUGUAUAAACAGACAAGCAAAAAAACUAAUAAAAACUUUAUACUUAGGCCGGGCAUGGUGGCUCAUGCCUGUAAUCCCAGCACUUUGGGAGGCCGAGGCGGGCAGAUCACGAGGUCAAGAGAUUGAGACCAUCUUGGUCAACAAGGUGAAACCCCGUCUCUACUAAAAAUACAAAAAUUAGCUGAGCAUGGUGGCACGUGCCUGUAGUCCCAGCUACUUGGGAGGCUGAGGCAGCAGAAUCGCUUGAAUCCGGGAGGCAGAGGUUGCAGUGAACUGAAAUCGUGCCACUGGACUCCAGUCUGGGUGACAGAGCAAUAAUCCAUCUCAAAAACAAACAAACAAACAAAAAAAAACACUUUAUACUUUAACUUCAUACCCCCCACUUUCUAAUUUUUUGUUGUUUCUAUUUAUAUCUUAUUGUACUGUGUCUUGAAAAGUUGUAGUUAUUAUUUUUGAUCAGUUCAUCUUUCUUCUGAAAUAUGAGUUUACAUACCACAAUUACCUAAGUUCAAAAACACUUGAAUCUGUGUUCUUCUGUGUACUAUUACCAGUGAGUUUUAUACCUUCAGAUGAUUUCUUAUUGAUCAUUAGCAUCCUCUUCUUUCAGAUUGAAGAACUCACUUUAGUGUUUCGUAUAAGACAGGUCUGGUGUUGAUGAAAUCCUUUAGCUUUUGUAUGUCUGGGAAAGUCUUUAUUUCUCCUUCAUGUUUGAAGCAUAUUUUCACUGGAUAUACUGUUCUAGGAUAAAAGAUUUUUCCUUCAACACUUUAAAUAUGUCAUGCCACUCUCUCCUGGCCUGUAAGGUUUCCACUGAGAGGUCUGCUGGCAGAUGUAUUUGGAGCUCCAUUGUAUGUUGUUUCUUUUCUCUUCCUGCUUUUAGGAUCCUUUCUCUAUCCUUGACCUUUGGGAGUUUGGAUAUUAAGUGCUUUGAGGUAGUCGUCCUUGGAUUAAAUCUGCUUGGUGUUCUAGAACCUUCUUGUACUUGAAUACUGAUAUCUUUCUCUAGGCUUGGGAAGUUCUCUAUUGUUAUCCCUUUGAAUGUACUUUCUAUGUCUGUCUCUACCUUCUCUUUAAGGCCAAUAACUCUUAUAUUUGCCCUUUUGAGGCUAUGUUCUAGAUCUUGUCGGUGUGCUUUAUUCUUUUGUAUUCUUUUUUCUUUUGUCUCCUCUGGGUGUGUGUUUUCAAAUAGCCUGUCUUCAGGCUCACAGUUCUUCUGCUUGAGCAAUUCUGCUAUUAAGAGACUCUGAUGCAUUCUUCAGUGUGUCAAUUGUAUUUUUCCACUACAGAAUUUCUGCUUUAUUCUUUUUUUAAUUAUUUCAAUUUCAUCGUUAAGUUUAUCUGAUAAGAUUCUGAAUUCUUUCUUAUGUCAUCUCGAAUUUCUUUGAGUUUCCUCAAAACAGUUAUUUUGAAUUCUGUCUGAAAGGUCACAUAUCUCUGUUUCUCUGAGAUUGGCCUCUGAUGCCUAACUUUGUUUGUUUGGUCAGAUCAUGUUUUCCUCCUGGUCUUGAUGCUUGUGGAUGUUUGUCAGUGUCUGGGCAUUGAAGAGUUGGGUAUUUGUUGACUUCUUAGCAAUCUGGGCUUAUUUGUACCUGUGCUUCUUGGGAAGGCUUUCCAGAUAUUCAAAGGGACUUGGGUGUUGAGAUCUGUUUUUGGUCACUGCAGCCAUAUCUGCAUUAAGUGGCACCCCAAACCCAGUAAUGCUGUAGUUCAUACAGACUCGUAGAGGUAUCACCUCGAUGGUCUUGGGUAAGAUCCAGAUGAAUUCUCUGGAUUACCAGGCAGAGACUCUUGUUACCUUACUUUCUUCCAAACAAACGGAGUCUCUCUCUGUCUCUGUGCUGAACUGCCUGGACCUAGGGGUGAGGUAACACAAGCAGCCCUGUGGCCACCAACACUGGGACGCAUUGGGUCAGUCCUGAAGCCAGUAAAGUGUUGAAUCUUGUCCAGGGGGUGCUGUGACCACUACCUGGCUGCUGCGUAUGUUCACUCAAGGCCUUAGGGCUCUACAGUCAGCAGGUAGUGAAGCCAGCUAGUCUUGUGCCUUUCCCUUCAGGGUGGCAAGUUCCCUUGGGCCCUGGGCAAGUCCAGAGAUGCUGUUCAGGAGCCAGCGCUUGGAGUUGGAAACCUUAGAAAGAAAUCUACUUGGUGCCCUAUUCCAUUGCAGCUAUGCUGGCAGUGAAACCACAAGACAAAUCCUUCCUAUUCUUCCCUACCCUUUCCCCAGGCAGAGGAGUCUCUUCCCAUGUCCACCACCACCACCACAGGCCUAUGAGUACCAGGGCACCACUGAUGUUCACUUAAGGCCCAAGGGCUCUUCAGUCAGCUUGUGGUGAAUGCUGCCAGGCCUAGAACUCACCCUUCAGGGCAGUGGGCUCCCCUCUGGCUCAGGGUAGGUCUAGAAAUGCAAUGCAAGAGCCAAGGCCUGGAAUCAGGGACCCCAAGAGCCUGUUUGGUACUCUUCCCCACUUUGACUGAACUGGUACCUAAGCUGCAAGACAAAGUCUCCUUUAUUCUUUCCUCUCCAUUUCUCAAGCAGAAGGAUUCUCUCCUCAUAGCCAACACAGUCGUGAAUUUGCUGGGACACACCUGAAGUCAGCAUGGCUCAAGAGUCUUACCUAAGACCCAUGGCAGGUCCUAGCUGGUUGCCGCUGCUGAUUAUUUAGAGCCCAAGGGCUGUUUAGUCAGCAGGUGAUGAAUCCUGCCAGGACUGUUUCCCUUCUGGCCUAAGAUAUGUCUAGAAAUGUCCGGGAGCUAGGGCCUGGAAUGGGACCUUAUGAUCCUGCCUGGUGCUCUUUCCUACUGUGGCUGAACUGGUAUCUAAGUUGUAAAACAACAUCCUCUUUACUCUUCCUUCUCCUCUCCUCAAGCAGAAGAAAGGGGUCUCUUCUGAAGCUGGGAGCUUCAAGCUGCACUGCCUUGGGUUGAGGGAGGGGUGACGCAAGCACUCCCUUAGCCACCCUGGCUGACAUCUCACUAAGUUAUGUGCCCCUCAAGUCCCCUGGCUCCAAGCCCAGCACAGCACUAGGACUUGCCCAGGAGUUGUAGUCCUAGUGGCCUAGACAGCCUUUCAAGUUUACUUAGAACCCCAGAGCACUUUAGCCCAUGGUAGCAGGCCUUAUGGAAGUUACAGAUAUGACUGCUGGGUUGGGUGAUUCCCCUCUGGCUAGGGCUUUUCUGAAUGCUCCCUCUGUGGGUACCUGCUGAGUCCUGUCUGGUGUUGCCAGCACUGAGUUCCAAUGCAAAGUUGCACAAUCACUGAGCUCUCCCUGCCACAGCAUACAGAUUGCCCAUGUGGGUGCUGCCAGGGGAUGGGAGAGGGGUGUUGUUGCAUUUCAAGAUUGUUUUUCCUGCCUUUUUCAGUACCUCUUUCAGUGAUAUGUAGUUAAAACCAGGUACUGUGAUUGCUCACAUGAUUUUGAUUCUAAUUGAAGGUGCUUUUUUUGUGUAGAUAGUUGUUAAAUUUGGUGUUCCUGCAGGGAGGAUGAUCAGUGGAGACUUCUAUUCAGCUAUCUUACUCCAUGUCUUCUCAGGAGAAGAUUCUUUAUGUUCAUUUAAAAAACAGAAACAUUCAGAUAGUAGAAUUAUUCUAAGACAGUUUCAAAAAAGAAACUAUCAUUACAACUGAAGAAUAAUUUGCUAUAGUGAGGAGCAUGUGGGGUUGGUAUUGGGUGCCCUGGGCCACAUGAUCUGGGCAGCAUGGUAUGGAUCAUUCAUUAUAAUUUCAGUGUGAUGUCACUGUGGUCAUGUGGUGGUUCUUAGUCUAUUUUGGAAGAUAACUAUUUUAAAACAUUGAAUUAAAAAUAUUUAUGGUUAUGGGCUGGGCACAGUGGCUCAUGUCUGUAAUCCCAGCACUUUGGGAGGCUGAGACCAGGCAGAUCACCUGAAGUCAGGAGUUCGAGACCAGCCUGGCCAACAUGGUGAAACCCCGUCUCUACUAAAAAUACAAAAAUUAGCCGGGCGUGGCGGCGGGCACCUGUAAUCCCAGCUACUUGGGAGGCUGAGUCAGGAGAAUCACUUGAACCCAGGAGGUGGAGGUUGCAGUGAGCUGAGAUCAUGCCACUGCACUCUAGCCUGGGCGACAGAGCAAGACUUCGUCUCAAAACAACAACAAAAAUUAUGGUUAUGUCAGGUACAGUGGCUCACACCUGUAAUCCCAGCACUUUGGGAGGCCAAGAUGGGAGGAUCACUUGAGGCUAAGAGUUUGAGAUCAGUCUAGAAAACAUAGUGAGAUUCCAUCUCUACAAAAAGUUUAAAAAUUAGCUGGGUGUGGUAGGUACAUGCCUGUAGUCCCAGCUACGUGGGAGGUUAAGGUGAGAGGAUCACUUGAGCCUAGGAGUUUGAGGCUGCAGUGAGAUGUGAUCACACCACUGCACUCCAGCCUGGGCAACAGAGCAAGACCUUGUCUCAAAAUAAAUAAAUGAAAGAAAAGAAAAUUUAUGGUUACAAAUGGUUCAUCAUUUUAGUUUGUCACAUAUAAAUAUCUUCUAUUCUUUUGGUUCUUGUCCGCUGCCAGCCCCCGCAUUCCUGGAUCAAUUUUACAGUCUGCCUUCUCUGUUUCUGCCUGUGCCUUAAAAACUGAGUGCUAUAAAGUUAUGGAAUUGCUGCCUCUCUAAGCUCAUGUCUCUAAAUUCCAAUCUCAUUUGAGUUCUCUUUACCAGUCACCAUUUUUUUUUUUAAUUUUACGUUGGUUGGUUCCCUUUGCCUUUUCCUUCAGCAGCUGUUACAGACUUCUACUCAUCUCAGACCCCUUCCUAAUCUCUGUCUCAUUGUCAUACAACCCACCUUGGAUCUGGGACACCAAAAAGUUUAGGCUUUCUCUUGUGAACUCUUUCAACUUCCUUCUGACUUUCUCAUUACAUGUCUCUGUUUGACCUCAUUUUUACCUUUUUCCUUUCUGUCCCAGAGGAAGAGGUUUAGCUCUUCCCAUUUUAGAUAGUUGUGACAUCUGUCUAAAUAUAUGAUUCUUGAUACCAUCUCAUCCACCUCCUUGGUGACUUAAUAACAUCAUUUAUAUCCUUGAUCUUCAGUCUUUCCCUCUCCAUUAACUUCAUUCCCAUUUAAAAAAAAGAAAAAAGAUGACAAAAUAGACCCCAUAAAUCUCUAAUCCUAUCUAUAUAUACUCUUUUAGAUUUAUCAUUUCAUUUUCUGUUUGGUAAUAGAGCAUUUAUGGUCACCUUUUCUCUGAAACCAUGCUUGCUAAGAUCACCAAGGAUCUCCUGUCAAAUCAUUCAUUCUUUCAGUGGAAUCACCAGGGAGUUUAUAUGAAGUGAUGGAGACAAGGCUGAGAAUGGACCCCAAUGGACAUCAACAUUUGAGGGAAUUGGUGAAGGAAAAGAUAAUGAAGGAAAUUAGAAGCCAGGGUUGAAGGAGAAAGCCAGGAGAGUGUGGUAUUCCAAAAAGAAGAGAGUUUUUAAGAAGGAGGGGAAUUAAGUGUUAAAUGCUAUACAGAUGUAAAAUAAAAUCAGUAUUGAAAAUAAUUCACUGAAUUUAGCAGCAAAGCAGUGAAGUGUUAGGAUAGUUGGUAAGGUUAAAUUGCACUGGUGAGAGACAUUAUUUGUAGGGAAGCAAAACAAGCUGGGGUAGAAAACUGUUUUGAAAAUAUUGACUGUGAAGAAUAAGGGAGUUAGAGUUGCUGGAGAGGGUUGCAAGCUCUAGGGAAAAUGUUUUUUAAAGCAGUAUAUAACAGACUUGAUGGGCCAGGCGUGGUGGGUCAUGCUUGUAAUUCUAGCACUUUGGGAGGCUGAUGUGGGCAUAUCACUUUGAGCUCAGGAGUUUGAGUCCAGCCUGGGCAACAUGGUGAAACCCUGUUUCUACAAAAAUUACAAUUAGCCAGGUGUGGUGGCUCACACCUGCAGUCCCAGCUACUCAGGAGGCUGAGGCUAGAGAAUUGUUUGAGCCCAGGAAACAGAGGUUGUAGUGAGCCAAGAUCACACCACUGCACUCCAGCCUGGGCAAGAGUGAAACCCUGUCUCAAAAAAAAAAAAAAAUGUACGACAGACUUGAAUAUGUUUAGGUGCCUAUGGAAGAGAGUUUGGAGAGGAAGAAAGCAAGAUUGGAAGAAGAAGGGAAUAAAAAUGGACUGAAGUCCUUGAAAAGAAAGAAAGGAACAUGAUUCAAAGCAUGAAUAGGACGAUUGGCCUUAUUUACAUAGAAACAGGAUAUCUUAUACAGUAAGAGACCUAUUAAUAUGGGAUGCCAUGGGGCCAGUCCUUGAAUAAGUUCAUCUCUUUUCUGUCAUGGUGAUCGUACCUAUUCCUGUGGUUUUAAAUAUCAUCUAACCUAAAUGCUGACAAGUCCCAAACUCUCCUGAAUUCCAGACUUGCAUCUCUAACUGCCAUCUUUAUAUGUUCUCUCAGGUGUCUGUAAACAUUUCAAAACUUAGCAUGUCAAAACUGAAUUCCUCUGAAACUUACUUCUUCUACACUCUGGUCUUAACCCCACCCCCCACCGCGCCAGCAACUUGGGCAGAAAGUCCUAUUGUCAUUGUUGACUACCCUCUCUAAUACUAAUCUGUCAGCAAAUCCUUUUGGCUCUACUUUCAAUAUAUUCAUAGUCUAACCACUUCUCACCACUUUGGUCUAAGCCACACUGUCACAUCUUACGUGGAUUAUUGCAUAGCCUUCCAGAUGGUCUCUGCUUCUUUAUUGCUGUUUCCGUCGUCUGUUUUCAGUUUAUAGCUGGAGGGAACUUGUUAAAACCUAUGUCAGAUCAUGUCACUGUUAGGUUCUGACUCUUGCAGUGGCUUCUCAUGUCAUGGAUAAUGAAAGGCAACGGCCUUAAAAUUGACUAUAAUUAUAUUAAACUAUGAACUCUUACUUAUAUUUCUCCUUGUUCAUUCUGCUACACUCUUUUUUUUCUUCUUCUUUUGGAGACAACGUUUCGCUCUUGUCAUUGCCCCAGGCUGGAGUACAGUGGUGCAGUCACAGCUCACUGUAGCCUCGACCUCUUGGGCUCAGGCAGUCCUCCCACCUCAGCCUCCUGAGUAGCUGGGACCAGGCUGGAGUGCAGUGGCGUGAUCACGGCUCACUGUAGUCUCUACCUGUUGGGCUUAAGUGAUUCUCUCAGCUCAACCUCCUGAGUAGCUGGGACCACAAGCGUUCACCACCAUGCCUGGCUAAUUCUGAAAUUUUUUUGUAGAUACAGGGUCUCCCUGUGUUGCCCAGGCUAGUCUUCAACUACUGGAUUCAAGUGAUCCUCCUGCUUCAGCCUCCCAAAGUGCUGGGAUUACAGGCAUGAGCCAUUGCACCCAGCCUCCUUCAUUUUCUUUUCUUUCUUUCUUUUUGUUGUCUUUUAGAGAUGGAGUUUUGCUCUGUUACUCAGGCUGGUGUGCAGUGGUGCCAUCAUAGCUCACUGCAGCCUCGAAUUUCUGGGCCUAGUCCAUCCUCCUGCCUUAGCCUCCCAAGUAGCUGUGAUUACAGGUGUGAGCCACUAUGCUCAGCUCUGCUACACUCCUUCAGAUCUCUAGUUCUUAAUAGUUUUUAGUCAGGAGGUCAAUAUACAAGAUUACCUUUUUGCUACAGUUACCUAUAACUAUUUAGACUUUUUUUAUUUGAAAAAAUUGAGGUGUAAAAUACACAGAUAUUAAGUCUACAGCAUAUAUAACACCAUCCACAUUGAGACAUUGAACGUUCUCAUCUCUCUAGAACAUUCUUGUAUACUCUUUCCCUGUCAGAAGCUCCCUGCCUCUCACCCCCACCCGUAUGUAACCACUAUUCAGACUUACAUCACCCCAUAAAUUAGGUUUUCUGUUUCUAAACUUGAGCCCUACUUAUUUAAUACUGUUAGGUGUAAUACUAUAGCCUGACCCUCUUCACCAAUCCCUGCUUCUGCACUUGCUACUUUUUACCCUGCAGUACUUUUUCUUUCUUCUGUCUCUCUUAACCACUUUCUAACAUAUAAUUUAAUAUGUUUGAUAUUUAUUGUCUCUCUCCUAGAAUCUAAGCUGUACAAGGGCAGGGAUUUUUGUUCUGCUACAACCACCCAAAACAGUCCCUAAUACACAAGGCGGAAGAGGAGAUGCAAGAGAUCUGACAGAAAAAACUAAAUGAAACCCCAGAGGGCCAGAGAGACUUGACAGAAAUGGCAGAUAACAAACUUGGUUUGGGCUUGAAAUGUGAUCUAGCAGUCAAAGGAAAGCCAGUGCUAUUCUGGGCAGCUAACAAAGAAGAAUUGUGCCACGGCAUAGGGAGUUGGCAAGAGCCCACCGGGAGUAUUACAUUUAGCACAGUGUCAGCAUGAUAGAAACAGAAGGUGGUGAGCUCUGAGAGCAACUGUAGUGCUGAGGGGGAUAAAUACAUGAAUUUAUGAAGAUCAGUUAACAAAUUCAAGCAUGCAGGGUUGACUGAAUUCCAACUACAAGAUCCAGGAGAGACACUCCCAAAUAUUUGAAGGGUGUUAACAUUGGAAGAAGAGAAGAAUUAUUUAGCCUGGACUACAGAACUUUGUAAGAAGGUGAAACCAAGGGCAGGGCAAAUUUAUACCUCUCUAAAAGAAAUGCCCUGAUGUAGUUUUUGGGUGAUUCGGGUGCCUUCAUCCCUCAGGACUUUUUGUAGUAUGAAGCUGUAAGGCCAAAAUGAAGGAUUUGAGAGUUCUUUCUCUGGAGAAAUGGUUGAGAAAUAUUUUGGUCUUGUGAAUAAAGAGUUUUUGUCCCAGAGACAGGUUAUGAAGGAUUGAUUUAAUAUUUAUUAGCCAUGCACAGUAUAUUAAGCACUGUAUACAACACAGUACAUAGUUCUUGAGGUUCUGAAAUAAAAUGACUGGCCAUUAUAUGCUUUAUGCAUUCUCAGUGUGUUUCAGUAGUUUAGAAACUUUGGCAAAUUUCCUAAGACUUUCCCUUUGGAAUAGAAUGAUGGAGGAAUUCGGCCAAAUGUAAAUGUAAAACAACAACAACAACAACAGAUGAAAUCCUAUUGAAACGAAUGUUUCCUUUCACAAGAUGGCAAAACAUAUAUCCUUGAGUCGGGAGUUUCCUCAGUGAUGGGGAUGAAGAAGCCUUGAGCUGAUAACACGAUAACAUGUUUGUUCUUCAGGAUAUUUUAAAUGCCAGAUAGAGGUGCUAUAUUGUCUUCAUUGCGGGCCAGGUCUCUGUUAUUUCUCAGUUCAAGAUAGGUCAAGGGAAAAUUCGUUGAUUCACUUAGAGACAGUUCUGUUUCCUGAGGCAAAGGUACUUGAAUUUUCAAGUGAAAUGGCCAAAAAGCCCACAGUAUACUUAGAUUUUUUUAAAAAGCUUAUAUCUCUUCUUUUACAUCUGGGCUUCUUGACUUCCAUCUGCUUGUCUACAGAAGCCAUCAUGUGAUUUUAAAGAUAAUGUUGGGUAUGAAGAAUGUGGAGUCAGGUUCUAUUUAACUAGGCAAUUGAGUCUUUCCUCAAUUAACUAAAUUAUCUUAUGCUCCCUGUGUCAGUGUGGAUCCUCCAAGACAGACUUAGAGGCAUAAAAUUUAUUGAACCACAAACAAUCAAUUGGGAGGGAGCCAGGAGUAGGCAGGGAGAGCUUUUUGAAUAUGGUGCAAGUCUAAUACCUGUGAAGGAAGACCGGGAAGAAAAGGCUGGGUAGGAAAUCUUGCAGACCACAGCAUAGUUGAGAAAAUCCCAGCCAUGCAGAUGUAGAGUCCCCAGGCAAAAGUUGCUUGUUAGCAGAAUCCCGUAUGGGGCAGGUGGGCAGGCACUACUACCCCUGCCUUGCUCAGUCACUGGCUGGGAGCAGCUUAGGCAAAGAGUGCUUUCAGUGUUCAUGGGGUUGGUGGCUAGAGGCUGAACUGUGGUCCAUACAAUAGGUUCUCUUGAAGCAGAUCUGAGCAACACAUCUUCUUGGUUACUACACUUCCCUAGCAAGCUUAUUUAUUCAUUUCAUGACAAGGUUCACCAAGUUUUAAUGUGUCUUGCCAUAUAACAUUUACAAUAGCAUAAUAAAUACUAGGGAAGAUAGAAAUAAAAGUAGAAACUCAAAGAACUAACUAUUACUAUUCCUCUAGAUAAACAAAAAUUUUCUGGGGUAUUUUUCAAGGAGGAUUCACACUGAAAAUACUGAGUGAUAAUGACUUCAUUGUCUAUAAUACUCGUGCAAUAAAUAUAUUUAGUUGUUUUAUUUUCUAAUGGCUCUUUUAUGUAGUGUGUUUUGAGAAAACCCAAGGGUUUAACAUUAUAACACAACUCAUUGAUGAUAAGUAUGUGGAAGCUAAGAUUAUAUGGAAGAGUCAGGUAGCUGACAGUCUGUAUGGUUAGUAUGGAGAAUAGAUCUCUGAAUUUUCAGAGAAGGAAAUGGACUGAACAGCAUUUAAAUAAUCUUGCAUAAAUAUGACUUCUAUCAAACAAAUUUUGUGUUAUUCUUUUUUUAAGAGACAGGUCUUGCUAUGUUGCCAUGGCUGGACUUAAACUUCUGGGCUCAAGUGAUCCUUCCGCCUCAUGCUCUUGAGUAGCUGGGACUACAGGCAUGUGCCACUGUGCCCAGCUUAUAAAACAAAAUUUUGGUAAAAAGCUUGAAACAACAGACUAUUCAAAAUUAUAUUCCUUAAAAUAGAAAGUCUAUUAACAGACCCAAAACAUAUGUAAUAUAAGAUAAAGGUGGCAUUUUAAAUCCAUGGUGGUGGGUAAGAUUGUGGAAGAUAACGGAUUAUUUAGUAAAUGGUGUAGAGAAAUUUGGGUAGCCAAUAUGGAAAAUAAACUCGUCUCCAUACCUCACAUUUUAUAUUAGGAAAAAUUCCAAAUGGAUCAAAUAUUAAAUGUAAGAAAUGGAACUGUGGUCCUAGUAAAGUACUAAAAGAAACCAUGGGAGAAUUAAAAAACAUAAUUGUGUAUAGUAUAGUGUGAUAAAAUAUUCCAGAAGCCACAAAAGAAUAGACUGUAUUUUUUUUUUUUAAUUUCAGUAAGUUUUGGGGGAACAGGUGGUGGUUGGUUACAUGGAUAAGUUCUUUAGUGGUGAUUUCUGAGAUUUUGGUACACCCAUCACCUGAGCCAGACAGUAAAUUCGACUAUAUAAUUUUUUUUUUUAAUUUGGGGGUAGGGGAUGGUGGCAUGGCAAAAACUACUAUAAGCAAAGUUAAAAGACAAGUGAGAAACUGGGGAAAAUAUUUGCAACUCACAAAGGGCUGAUUUCCCUAAUAUAUAAAGAACUCUAAAAAUCAGUGAGAAAAACAAGAAUAAUCCAGUAGAAAUAAUGGGCAAAGAAUGUGAACAGAUAGUUUAGAAGAAAUGAAAUACAAAUGUCACUUAAACUCAUGAAAAUAAACACAGGCUGGGCACAGUGGCUCACACCUGUAAUCCCAGCACUUUGGGAGGCCAAGGCAGGUGGAUCACUUGAGGUCAGGAGUUCAAGACCAACCUGGGCAACAUGGUGACACCUGUCUCUACUAAAAAUAUAAAAAUUAGCCAGGCCUGGUGGUGCCCACCUGUAAUCCCAACUACGUAGGAGGCUCAGGCAAUCCCUUGAACCCAGAAGGCAGAGGUUGCAGUGAGCCAAGAUCACACCACUGCACUCCAGCCUGGGCAACAGAGUGAGACUCUGUCGCAAAAAAAAAAAAGAAAAAAGAAAAUAAUCACUGUCUAACUCUUGAUUAGGGGAAUGCACAUAAAAACUACUCAGAGAUACUAUUUUGAUGUCUCAGAUUAGCAAGUACCUGGAAAUUUGGUAAUAAACUCUAUUAGAGAAUAUGUGGGGAAGCAGACGCAUGUUGGCAAUUACUUAUCUGCUGUCUUACCACAAUAGAUUUGUUUGCAUUUUCUAGAAUCUUAAACAUACAAUAUGAACUCUUAUCUGGCUUCCUUCACUCAGCAAAAUUAUUUUGAGAUUCAUUCACGUUACAGCACGUAUCAAUAGUUCAUUCGUUUAUAACUGAAUGGAUAUACUGCAAUUUGUUAUCAGGUUUACUGUUGAUGGACAUUUGGGUGGUUUUCAAUAUGAGGCUAUUACAAAUAAAGCUGUUGUAAACAUC